rnacentral:rRNA from 1 species
AGUGAACGCUGGCGGUAGGCCUAACACAUGCAAGUCGAACGGCAGCACAGUAAGAGCUUGCUCUUACGGGUGGCGAGUGGCGGACGGGUGAGGAAUACAGCGGAAUCUACUUUUUCGUGGGGGAUAACGUAGGGAAACUUACGCUAAUACCGCAUACGACCUACGGGUGAAAGCAGGGGAUCUUCGGACCUUGCGCGAUUGAAUGAGCCGAUGUCGGAUUAGUUAGUUGGCGGGGUAAAGGCCCACCAAGGCGACGAUCCGUAGCUGGUCUGAGAGGAUGAUCAGCCACACUGGAACUGAGACACGGUCCAGACUCCUACGGGAGGCAGCAGUGGGGAAUAUUGGACAAUGGGCGCAAGCCUGAUCCAGCCAUACCGCGUGGGUGAAGAAGGCCUUCGGGUUGUAAAGCCCUUUUGUUGGGAAAGAAAAGCAGCAGGUUAAUACCCCGCUGUUCUGACGGUACCCAAAGAAUAAGCACCGGCUAACUUCGUG